rnacentral:rRNA from 1 species
UACGUAGGGUGCGAGCGUUGUCCGGAAUUACUGGGCGUAAAGAGCUCGUAGGUGGUUUGUCGCGUUGUUCGUGAAAAACCGGGGGCUUAACCCUCGGCGUGCGGGCGAUACGGGCAGACUUGAGUACUGCAGGGGAGACUGGAAUUCCUGGUGUAGCGGUGGAAUGCGCAGAUAUCAGGAGGAACACCGGUGGCGAAGGCGGGUCUCUGGGCAGUAACUGACGCUGAGGAGCGAAAGCGUGGGGAGCGAACAGG